rnacentral:rRNA from 1 species
GAUCCGAGCGUUAUCCGGAAUUAUUGGGUUUAAAGGGUCCGUAGGCGGGAUAAUAAGUCAGUGGUGAAAGUUUGUGGCUCAACCAUAAAAUUGCCAUUGAUACUGUUAUUCUUGAGUAAUUGUGAAGUGGUUAGAAUGUGUAGUGUAGCGGUGAAAUGCAUAGAUAUUACACAGAAUACCAAUUGCGAAGGCAGAUCACUAACAAUUAACUGACGCUGAUGGACGAAAGCGUAGGUAGCGAACAGGAUUAGAUACCCUGGUAGUCUACGCAGUAAACGAUGGUUACUAGCUGUUUGGCCGCCUUAGGCGGCUAAGUGGCCAAGCGAAAGUGAUAAGUAACCCACCUAGGGAGUACGUUCGCAAGAAUGAAACUCAAAGGAAUUGACGGGGGCCCGCACAAGCGGUGGAGCAUGUGGUUUAAUUCGAUGAUACGCGAGGAACCUUACCAGGGCUUAAAUGCAGUUUGACAGGAGUGGAAACAUUCUUUUCUUCGGACAGAUUGCAAGGUGCUGCAUGGUUGUCGUCAGCUCGUGCCGUGAGGUGUCAGGUUAAGUCCUAUAACGAGCGCAACCCCUAUGGUUAGUUGCUAGCAGGUCAUGCUGAGAACUCUAGCCAGACUGCCGGUGUAAACCGUGAGGAAGGUGGGGAUGACGUCAAAUCAUCACGGCCCUUACGUCCUGGGCUACACACGUGCUACAAUGGUAUGUACAAUGAGCAGCCACUACGCGAGUAGGCGCAAAUCUCAAAAGCAUAUCACAGUUCGGAUCGGAGUCUGCAACUCGACUCCGGAAGCUGGAAUCGCUAGUAAUC